GUUGCAUGGGUAGCAGUGGAGAAUCCAGACGCUUGCUGUUGUCCCUUGCAGAGGUCCAGGAAAAAAAAGUGUAGUGGUUCAGGAAAAACAGAGAGGAGCUGCUCUGUUAUUCCUUUAGUCAAUCUUUUGGCCUAUCUCCUUCUGUAUUAUGAUUUCCAUCUUGAGAGAAAAAAGGAAAAACAUGUAAAGUUGUAUGUUUUUUUAUGUUUGCAAUUUUUUGUUUUGUGGAGAAUUAAAGGAUCGUGUAUGCUUGCCGUUGAAUCCAACUGUUUUUAGUUUUUUAGUGUCCAGGAAAAAAUCUUGGGAACAUUUGUCAUGCUAGCCACCUGACGCUCGGCAUAUCCUCUCCCUCGUGGCAUCCAGCUUUGCUGCAGGGACCAAAAGUUGGGGUCAAGAUCGAAGUCGGCUGAGCUAUUGGGUGGCUCUGAAGAUGUGUUUGUGUUAGAGAUUAGUUUACAUGCAAAACAAGCCUCAGCAUAUUUGAGAUGAUGGCUGUUGCUGCACGUGAAGAGUUGGUUAAUAUGAAGAAGUUCCUAAUUAACUGACUUGAGCCAUUUGCAUAGAACCGGUGCUCUCCCGUUGCAACAUACGGGCAUUUGAUGAGAGAACGGACGUAAGCACAUUGACAUAAAUAUAUGCAGGAAGGAAUUAAAGCAGAGACUACACAACUCGGGUGACAAAGAGUUGUGCCCAUGGCCGAUUAAAUAGAACUGAAAAAAGUCUGCGUCUACAGUGAGACACCUCGAGGAAAAAAGAUCGGAUGAUGAGAAAGGAAAAAGGAGAGAUUGGAUCGGGACAACGUACAACCUGGAUUCAGGUUUUAGCACACGAUGGACAAGCUGCAGGCCACGGCGGACGCUGGAGGCACAGGCCCAUCGCAGACAGGGGUAGGCCUGGGUGAAGUCAGCAAGGUGUGUGUGUGUUGCAGAUAGAUGGAGGCACUGGGACGGGGCGGCAAGGUGUGUGUGUGUGUGUUGCAGAUAGAUGGAGGCACUGGGACGGGGCGGCAAGGUCCAAGACGACGGGUCGUGAGAGCAGGUUGUGGUUGCCUGCAUAUAUAUGUAUUCCCCUCCGUUAACAACUGUUGGAUGAAGCUUUGGAGUACUAUAAACUUCCAGGGAAGGUAAAACCCAUCUUUGGCAUAUUUGUUUUCAGAGUAUUGAUAUUGGAGAUGACCUUAA